rnacentral:rRNA from 1 species
CUGGCUCAGGACGAACGCUGGCGGCGUGCCUAAUACAUGCAAGUCGAGCGGGGCUUGAGGAGGGCUUGCCCUUCGAGAGCCCAGCGGCGGACGGGUGAGUAACACGUGGGUAACCUGCCCGUAAGACCGGGAUAACUCCGGGAAACCGGGGCUAAUACCGGAUAACACCGGGGGCCGCAUGGCUUCCGGUUGAAAGGCGGCCUUUGGCUGCCACUUACGGAUGGGCCCGCGGCGCAUUAGCUAGUUGGCGGGGUAACGGCCCACCAAGGCGACGAUGCGUAGCCGGCCUGAGAGGGUGGACGGCCACACUGGGACUGAGACACGGCCCAGACUCCUACGGGAGGCAGCAGUAGGGAAUCUUCCGCAAUGGGCGAAAGCCUGACGGAGCGACGCCGCGUGAGCGAGGAAGGCCUUCGGGUCGUAAAGCUCUGUUGUCAGGGAAGAAGGCG